GGUUCUGGAACCAGGUCUUGACUUGGGCAUCAGUCAUUUUCAGAGCCUUGGCUAAAGCCGCCCUCUCGGCUGAGGCCAGGUACUUCUGUCGGUGGAAGCGUUUUUCCAGUUCACAGAUCUGCAGACGGGUGAAAGAGGCUGAGCAUUUGCUGGAAAGAGGCUAACCUGGUGCCAGAGAGGCAUAGAAAAGUUUAGCUGGGAAGCGGCGGAAGAAAUAGAAGUGGCAGCAGAUCUAUUUAAGAACACAGCAAAUAAUCCCAAAACUGAAAUUGGCGACUUUUGAUUAAUUUAUCGGCAACACCCCGUUAUCUCACCUGAGAUCCCUCUGAGCUCGCCUGAUCUGGGUACUGUGCUUCCCGUAAUGUUCAGCAGUCUCCCAAACCGAACAAGGAACGGAGGGACAUUCUAUGAACCUUGUUCGGCGGUGCCGAGGCUGAUUUUGCCACAAAGAGCCCUAGCAACUCCGCGCAGCCUUCGCUCUCCACGCCAAUAUGGCUCGCGUUUUCCCAGCGUAGGCCCUCGGCGGAAGGACGGCGGGAAAGAAAAAAAAAAAGGCCAAGAUUAGGCCUCUGUACCAAGAACAAAAUCUGUUCUUUCCGAAGAACGAAUUGCGACUCGGGAUAAAAAUUCUCUUAUAUAUAUAAAAAAUAUCUAAAGCCCGAUGAGAACGGGCCGGAAGAUGAUUUGUUCCGAACUAAAACGAGCCAGCCUCUUUUGCGGCAGCCCCCUCGGCAGGGAGGAGAACCAGGAGAGGCCUUUUCGGGCGGCAAGGCCUUAGCCGCAUCUGCGCCAUUGCGAGUGGAAAUGUCGGAAGGCAAAAAAUAAUCCGGCCUUGCUAAUUGGCGGCGAAGGCGAUGCAAUCCAGCAGGUCUAGAGACCUUCUCCAAUCUGGCGGCGGCCAGGCAAAAUAAAUAAAGCGGCCGCCUGGGUCGUCGCGUCUUCGGGUUAAACUGCUUCAGACAUUGCCCGCGAUGCCGAAAAUCGCUGGUAUCCCUUCUCCCCAGCUUCGGUUGCUGUUUACGAUUUCUCUCCGCCAUUCAAGUAAAAGUAACCAACUCCCAUAGAAACUGAGGCGUGGCGGGCAAUUCAAAACUCAGUGCAACCAGGAUUACAAGCCUCUAUGCGCGGACCGGGGCGCGGAUGCCUACAACUGAAGGGAAAUUUUCCUCCUUCCUGGCCGCGUCUAGUCCGAAAUUGGCUCCACUCGUUCAGGGGUAAUGACUCUCGGUUGGAUCUACAAUUACAGGCCGGGAGUUGCUGCCAUUGAACUCCGCGGAGCUCCCUUCAGAGCAGAGCGUCAAAGAGCAAGAUCGCGCCGCUACAGCCUUGAUCUGCCCAUCCGUCUUGCUGGGGACAUCGCAGCAACCAUUACUCUAAUCUGCAUGUAAUAAUCUCCCGCCCCGGCUGGAAGCCGGGUAAAGGGCUAGCCCUGGGGAGGUCGUAUUCUGCUCCGAAGCAGCAGGUAAUGGGACCUUUAUUGAUGAAGGUCGGGGCUCGCUGUUUAAAUUAAAAUUGAAAUAUAAUUACCAUUAUUGUUUGUGGCAUCCUGGUUGGGGGGGGGGGAUGAGCGUAAAUCUGGGCGAUUCGGAAAGAACAUUGGCUUGCUAAAAUUUAUCUUCCAAUAGAUCUGCCAUUAAACGAUGAAUUGACAUUUUGCUCUCUUCUCUCCCUCCCCUGCUCUUUUUAAGGCACGUGGAAUAAUGUAGGUGCCAAUUUAUGGGUCACACAUGCCCCAUACUUCUAGGAAAAGAUGAACCUGGGGGGGGGAGGCAUGAGUUUCUUGGAUUCAACUAUAGAUCAUCUUGUGGCACUUUCCCUUUCAGAGCUACCAGUAUUAAUGUCAUUUCUGUACUGCUUGUCUGAAAGAUACAUUUCUUCUAAAUGCUUAUUUUUAUCCGUAUUCCCACGCUCCAUCAUUUAUAACAAUAAUUGUGAGGGAUGCACACAAGUACGCUGAAUAAACUUGAUCAGGAAACAUGUAGAUAGAAGCAUUAUUUGUUCAGUUUAUGAUUCAUAAGUUUUGAAAAUUCUAGUUAUGGUACAUUUUUAAAACCUAGUUAUUUUUCAACUAUAUAUUUAUAUACUACAAAAGUUGGUGAACUAUAUAUAUGAAAUCGUUUGAUAACUCCAUGUGUACAUAAGUAUAUGUAUACCUACAUACACAUAAAAAUAUACAGAGAUAAUGAUGUCGAUGAUAGUGGUGGCUAUAGGGUUAUUAUAGUAUUUAUAGUAUAGAUUCUAGCCAUAUCUGUAAUGUUCCUAAGAGAUGCGUUACCAUAGGCGGACGCGUUUUACUCGCGGAAUUGAGGUGGGCAAACUGUAUCAAUUCUUGAACGAAGUAUAGAAAAUUGGAAAAGAACCUACAAUGCGGGGAAACUGGUUGAAAUAACAUUUAAUUUUAAAAUGUUGAAAGAACCUGCUUAACCCAAGAAUGCAAAAUUGAACGUUUAAGUGUUUUAAAAGGUUGCCUAAAGGCUAAGGCGACGAAACGAUUUGCUCGCCGUUGGAGCUUCUGAGAGAAGCGGUGAGAGUUUCAGAAGAUAUCUCUUCCGUGGAAGUUUUAAUCAAGGUGAAAACUCGUUGCUAGCUACGCUAUUAAAAUACCGUUAAUUUAAUAAGGUUAAUCAAGCCGCCAUGAAAAUUACUAGGAAACGCUUGCUACUUGACGUUUCGCCUUCUGAAUUUCUGGCAUCGCUGCACUUUCGGGCCAAACCGCUAAGGCAAACAUCCGUCAAGGCUGUUUAUAAAUCAAACCCAAUCGAUUCAAUUAAAGCGGUUGCAAAUCGAAUCGGAGCACGCCCGGGAUUCUCUCGCUGGAGGGCAGGAGAGGGAGGCUACGCAGCGGACCGACUUGCGGAGGCGGGAGCGGGGAAGGCAGCGGGGGCAGCGCUGGCAGGCGCCGGCGACUCGCGCGGGGCGGAAAGAGCCCCGGAGCC